rnacentral:rRNA from 1 species
UACGUAGGGCGCAAGCGUUAUCCGGAAUUAUUGGGCGUAAAGAGCUCGUAGGCGGUCUGUUGCGUCGGCUGUGAAAACCUGGGGCUCAACCCCGGGCCUGCAGCCGAUACGGGCAGACUAGAAUUCGGCAGGGGAGACUGGAAUUCCUGGUGUAGCGGUGAAAUGCGCAGAUAUCAGGAGGAACACCGGUGGCGAAGGCGGGUCUCUGGGCCGAUAUUGACGCUGAGGAGCGAAAGCGUGGGGAGCGAACAGG